GCUGUCCCCGGUAUGAUCACCCGCAGAGGCCGGGAUGCACAUUGUCUUCCUUCCAUUGUUUGAAGAUUGAGAGGAAAGUAAGGAAGAAGGCCAAAGAUGCUCAAGACUGUUGUCACUCAGAGCUGAACAUCCCGCAGAUAGAUGCAUCCUACAAAGAGCCCUUCGAUCUCCCCAGCCCUAGGAUAGACUAGACAUCUACCCCUGUCACCAGCGUUUGAUUGCAGCCUCUGCUGGGAUCAGGUCUCCUGCAACUUUCAAUCAAGGGUCAAAAGGUCAAAUGAUCUACUUGUUCCUGAGUGAGCUCCUCACAUCUGUCCACGGAUCAACACACAGUGUAUGCUCUGCACCGUCUCCACUCAGAAGUGCUCACUAAUGCAUCAAGCCUCAGUUGCACCUUAACUACCUUCCUCCCUGACAACGUAACGAGUUGCUCUCUUCCCCAGAGUCAGUUACAUCCUUUUGUCCAUGGAGCCUCCCAGACCCAUCAUUGGAAGGAUUUGCUUCCACACACUAUUGUUCAAAUCUCAGCACUAUAGAAAGGCCACACACGUCCCCAGGGUUUCCUUGUGUUUAGUUGGUCAAACACACAGAAUAGAACAAAAAUAAUAGGAAGGGAAAGACAGCUAAUUAAUAAGAAGCAAUCGUAAGGGGCACAAGAGAGAGGAUAUGAUGGUCUGAGCAUUGGCAUCUUACAGGAGGGAGCAGAUUGCUGCUGCAGAGAAUGCAGACAUAGAGGGAACCCUAAAGGUGAUGUUUGCUGUAGCUUAAUGGACUGAAGAUUUGUGGGAACAUGGUGGAUUUGUCAAGUAGGCAAAUGUAUGUGUGAAUCAAAACGGUCUUCCCUGUUUCAGGCCCUGAGAUGUCCUGCCCUGCCACAUCCCCUGCCUCCUCUCUACAUCUUAUUCCACGGACACAUAGAGAGAAGACAAAUCAUCAGAGAAACUGAAGGAGGAGCUGCUCCUGACUCAUACUUUUCAGAGUUCUGCCACAGAGGGAGAGGAGUCACCUGCCUUGUCUGGGGAUCAGCAAAUCUGGAUUCUAUUUAUACAUUCCCUUUAACCUGUCUGCUCUCAGUUCUGUCUUCAUCCCAGAUUUAGAAAGAUCAGAUAUCUCCAGUGUUUCAGCCUUCCAAAUGCAAGCUGCUAAUUUGCUCUUCACAUUUACCUAUUUUUUUUUCUUCAGGGUUAAACUUUUUCAAGUCUGGAAAACUCAGUUAUCACGAGUCCACUGCCUUUGCUGAUUCCAGGUCUCUUGCAAUAUUCUUCAUUCCCAACCUGCUAGUUUCAUGAUCUAAUCCAUGUUUAAUAGUACAGUAGAAGAAAAUGAAGGUGACUGUCUAGCACACACAAUCUCAGCAUUCAAGGAAGAAGCACGUAGACCUCUGUGAGUUCAAGGUUAGCCUGGUCUACAUAGCAAACAAACAAAUAAAAUAAUACACAUAUGUAUAGAAGUACGCAUACACACACAAAUGGAUGAACUCUAGUAAGAUGGCUUGGUGGUUAAGAGCAUUCUUAAGUAAUAUUCUUAGCAUAUUUGGUUCUGUCCUAUGUGUUAUACCAAAUAAACACAAGGAAACCCUGGGUAAGUGUAGUGUAUGGGUAAGGCUAAGAGUAAUGG
rnacentral:lncRNA from 1 species